ACAUGUAACGGUGAUCUGGCUGCGGCACGUGUCACCGUGCUGAUCACAGGGCUGAUUCUACUGAUCUGGCUGGUUAGGCAGGUGUUUCUUCCUCUACUGCUGUUCUGUGUGUGUGCCUCUGAAGCUGAGCACUCUGUUGAAGAAGACAACCUUUCCUGAAAGAGAAGGACUGUUCUGUCCAGGGUGUAUGCUAGAACCUCCAAAUAAGCUCCUCAAAAUUCCUCGCCUAUGUUGUAUGGCUUUGCUGAUUACA
rfam:Felis catus isolate Cinnamon breed Abyssinian chromosome B2, whole genome shotgun sequence.